UCCCCCUUGCACUUCCAAGGAGAUUUCCACUAAGAAAUAAUCACACAGAUUACAACUGCUCAAUACUACCUAGUAUGAGACUUCACAAAUGCUCAAGCACGCAGGCAAGAGACUUCCUACGCUCAAGCACUAAAGCAAGAGACUUCCUAUGCUCAAGCACUAAAGCAAGAGACUUCUAAUCAAACAGAAUUACACAGAAAAUUGUUUGAGUUUGAACACUUGAUAUACAAUCAGUGGUGUUCACAAUACAAUGCAAUUGAAAGACUCU
rnacentral:lncRNA from 1 species